rnacentral:rRNA from 1 species
UACGGAGGGUGCGAGCGUUAAUCGGAAUUACUGGGCGUAAAGGGUGCGUAGGUGGUUAGUUAAGUUAUCUGUAAAAUCCCUGGGCUCAACCUGGGCAGGUCAGAUAAGACUGGUUAACUCGAGUAUGGGAGAGGGUAGUGGAAUUUCCGGUGUAGCGGUGAAAUGCGUAGAGAUCGGAAGGAACACCAGUGGCGAAGGCGGCUACCUGGCCUAAUACUGACACUGAGGCACGAAAGCGUGGGGAGCAAACAGGAUUAGAUACCCUGGUAGUCCACGCUGUAAACGAUGUCAACUAGCUGUUGGUUAUAUGAAUAUAAUUAGUGGCGCAGCAAACGCGAUAAGUUGACCGCCUGGGGAGUACGGUCGCAAGAUUA